CUAACGCUGGCGGCGCGUCUUAAACAUGCAAGUCGAGCGGAAAGGCCCGCAAGGGUACUCGAGCGGCAAACGGGUGAGUAACACGUAGGUAAUCUUCCUUCCAGUGGGGGACAACCUGCCGAAAGGCAGGCUAAUACCGCAUAUUGCCAGACUUUCUACGGAUUGUCUGAUGAAAGCAGUAAUGCGCUGGAAGAUGAGCCUGCGGCUGAUUAGCUUGUUGGCGGGGUAACGGCCCACCAAGGCGACGAUCAGUAGCCGGCCUGAGAGGGUGGACGGCCACACUGGGACUGGGACACGGCCCAGACUCCUACGGGAGGCAGCAGUUAAGAAUCUUGUGCAAUGGGCGAAAGCCUGACACAGCGACGCCGCGUGCGCGAUGAAGGCCUUCGGGUUGUAAAGCGCAAUAGACAGGGACGAAGAAAGUGACGGUACCUGUUGAAAGCACCGGCUAACUACGUGCCAGCAGCCGCGGUAAUACGUAUGGUGCAAGCGUUGUU
rnacentral:rRNA from 1 species